UAAAACACUAUAUUUAAAUACCACCACCAAUAAUAAUAAAUCCACUACAUUGUAAACCUAUAUAUAAUUUAUUGAGUAGUAGGCUUAAAAGGAAACAAUUCAUUCAAGACUUUGGAUCUGCAUUUAGUUUAAAAACAUUGUAAACACUCAAACCUUAUCAUGCCAAAGUAAAACUUAAAGAGCUAUUAAAAACAAAUACAUUGUUAUUUUGGUUAUAAUUCCUCCUAGAAGAAGUCUACCAGAUGCAUGCACAACUACCAGGGGAGUGAACAUAGCAGCCUUCACAAAGUGUCAUGAAAGCAUAGACCCUCAUUUUUCCAUCCUCAGCCUCCAGCAGGACAAUACGGGGCCUCUUGAUGACCACGAGCUUCCCUUGGUUCCUUGUGCUGGCACUUGCUUGGUUUUGUAGUUUAAAACCACCAUUAAGAAAAGACUGUUUGACUGUUUAAACAGUGAACUGCCAUGAACUGUCCUUCAACUCACUUCAGUUGGAUGUGAAACAGUAAGAUGACCAGGCAGGCCUGCGGCUUCUCCCCAAGUUCAAAGCCCUGUGAGAGAGGUGCAGGAGCCAUGCCUGCAUGGAGAUUGGAAACAUGCAGCUGGGGGCAGCAGCUGAGGGGCUGUCUUAGAAGGCCAAAUGCUGGACCCUGUAAACUGGACACUGGAACCCAGGUUUGGAACAUUGGCAGUUGUGCAGCUGGACUCCAUCCAUGGCCAUUCUGAUAGGCUGCAAACUCCAGCACCAUCCUGCUGUACUUUGGUGCAGGAACGCUUCUCCCUUCCUAUACAGAGUCUGGGAAAGAGUGGCCAAGGUUGCUGUACCUGUUUUUCAACCAACAGCUCAUCCUUGCCAAGGCCAAUGGGGCAUUUCUGCCAGUCCACCCGAGACUUGUCAGAAGACCUGAACUAGAUGGUGCUCCUGUUGCUUGAAUACAUUCUAGAUGAGCAACUCCACCGAAGACCUCAAAGAUCUGGCAUUACACUAUGGGAUUAUUUCAAUGGUGAAGAUUUCUUGGCCUUUAUCACCAAGGGUGGAGAGAGAGGCUAAGGAGAGAAGAGAACCAGACUUUUGGAGGUUCCCUUGUACUUUAAUAAGAGAUUGAGUGGCAAAUAAUUUUCUAGAACUAAAAUAGCACAAUCUCGGGCGAAGGAUAUGAACAGACACUUCUCAAAAGAAGACAUUUAUACAGCCAAAAGACACAUGAAAAAAUACUCAGCAUCACUGGCCAUCAGAGAAAUGCAAAUCAAAACCUCAAUGAGAUACCAUCUUACACCAGUGAGAGCGGCGAUCAUUAAAAAGUCAUGAAACAACAGGUGCUGGAGAGGAUGUGGAGAAAUAGGAACACUUUUACACUGUUGGUGGGACUGUAAACUAGUUCAACCAUUGUGGAAGUCAGUGUGGCGAUUCCUCAAGGAUCUAGAACUAGAAAUACCAUUUGACCCAGCCAUCCCAUUACUGGGUAUAUACCCAAAGGAUUAUAAAACAUGCUGCUAUAAAGACACAUGCACAUGUAUGUUUAUUGUGUCACUAUUCACAACAGCAAAGACUUGGAACCAACCCAAAUGUCCAACAAUGAUAGACUGGAUUAAGAAAAUGUGGCACGUAUACACCAUGGAAUACUAUGCAGCCAUAAAAAAUGAUGAGUUCAUGUCCUUUGUAGGGACGUGGAUGAAGCUGGAAACCAUCAUUCUCAGCAAACUAUCACAAGGACAAAAAACCAAACACUGCAUGUUCUCACUCAUAGGUGGGAAUUGAACAAUGAGAACACAUGGACACAGGAAGGG
rnacentral:lncRNA from 10 species